rnacentral:rRNA from 1 species
GCCAGAGGACGAGCCUGCGGCCCAUCAGCUAGUUGGCGAGGUAACGGCUCACCAAGGCGAAGACGGGUAGCUGGUCUGAGAGGAUGAUCAGCCACACUGGAACUGAGACACGGUCCAGACUCCUACCGGGAGGGCAGCAGUGGGGAAGUAUUGCGCAAUGGGCGGAAAGACCUGACGCAGCCACGCCGCGUGAGCGAUGAAGGCCUUCGGGUCGGUAAAGACUCUGUGGGGAGGAGAAAGAAUAAAGCCUGUGAAGAGCAGGCCUUGACGGUAUCUCCUUAGCAAGCACCGGCUAACUCCGUG